rnacentral:rRNA from 1 species
AUGGCUUCCAGCGCCGCCGCCGACGUGGUUGAGACCGAGCUGCUCCCGUUCAUCCGCGUGUACAAGAGCGGCCGCGUCGAGCGCCUGCUCGGCACCGACACCGUGCCGGCGUCCUUCGACGCGCCCACGGGCGUGGCGUCCAAGGACGUCGUCAUCGACCCGGCCACCGGCGUCUCCGUCCGCCUCUACCUUCCGCCAGCGGCUGCGGCAUCCGGGGGCGAAGGCAAGAAGCUGCCCGUCCUCGUGUACUUCCACGGCGGCGGGUUCAUGGUCGAGACGGCGGCCUCCCCGACGUACCACCGCUACCUGAACGCGCUCGCCGCCCACGCGGGCGUCCUCGCGGUGUCCGUGGAGUACCGCCGCGUGCCGGAGCACCCGCUCCCCGCGGCCUACGACGACUCCUGGGCGGCCCUCGCGUGGGCGGUCGCCGGCACCGCCCCGGGAUGCCCCGAGCCGUGGCUCGCGGCGCACGGGGACGCGUCCCGCGUGUUCCUCGCCGGCGACAGCGCGGGCGCCAACAUCGCGCACAACGUCGCCCUGCGCGCCGCCGCCGAGGGGCUCCCGCGCCCGUGCGCGGCCAUCGUCGGCGUGCUGCUGGUGCACCCCUACUUCUGGGACCCGACCAACGCCAUGACGCCCGCUCUGGAGGUCAGGAUCCGCCGCGAGUGGCGGUUCAUGUGCGCGCGCCCCGACGCCGAGGUCGACGACCCGAGGUUCUGCCCGACGUGCGCCGAGGCGGCGCCGCUGCUCGCGGCGCUGCCGUGCAAGAGGGCGAUGCUGGCCGUGGCGGGCGACGACUUCCUGGCGGUGAAGGGGCGGGCGUACUACGCGGCGCUGCUCGCGAGCGGGUGGCGCGGCGAGGCCGAGCUGGUGGACACGCCGGGGCAGGACCACGUGUUCCAUCUCAUGCGGCCGGGGACGGAGGCGGCCGCCGAGAUGUUGGACCGCGUCGCGGGUUUCAUUUCUCGUGCUUGA